rnacentral:rRNA from 1 species
CCUCGGGCGUGCAGGCGAUACGGGCAUAACUUGAGUGCUGUAAGGGAGACUGGAAUUCCUGGUGUAGCGGUGAAAUGCGCAGAUAUCAGGAGGAACACCAAUGGCGAAGGCAGGUCUCUGGGCAGUAACCGACGCUGAGGAGCGAAAGCAUGGGUAGCGAACAGGAUUAGAUACCCUGGUAGUCCAUGCCGUAAACGGUGGGCGCUAGGUGUAGGGGACUUCCACGUCUUCUGUGCCGCAGCUAACGCAUUAAGCGCCCCGCCUGGGGAGUACGGCCGCAAGGCUAAAACUCAAAGGAAUUGACGGGGGCCCGCACAAGCGGCGGAGCAUGUGGAUUAAUUCGAUGCAACGCGAAGAACCUUACCUGGGCUUGACAUACACCAGAUCGCUGCAGAGAUGUAGCUUCCCUUGUGGCUGGUGUACAGGUGGUGCAUGGUUGUCGUCAGCUCGUGUCGUGAGAUGUUGGGGUUAAGUCCCGCAACGAGCGCAACCCUUGUCUUAUGUUGCCAUCACGUGAUGGUGGGCACUCAUGAGAGACUGCCGGGUUAACUCGGAGGAAGGUGGGGAUGACGUCAAAUCAUCAUGCCCCUUAUGUCCAGGGCUUCACACAUGCUA